AUGUUGUUAUCACAAGAACCUAGCAAUUAGCAUUAUUAUUAAUUGAACAGCAUGUGAUUUUUGUUCUUUUUAUGAAUGGCAUGUGAAUUUGGACUUCAUUAUUAUUUUCAUUGUUGAUAAAAUUCAUCUACAAACGCACAUUAAUCUGGAGUGCAAACAGUGUUUGUUUCAAUUGGAAAAAUUGAGAUUUGUUUGAGAGUGGGAUGUUCAAUUUGUUGAUUAUUGUGAUGAGUGGUGUGAAUAGAGAGAAUUAUAGAGUGACUGUGCCAUCUCUCUUGUGACGAUGAGUUUCUUCAACAUUCAGAGGAUGCAGAUCACUGGGACAAUGAAAAAUUGGACAACAUGGGAAGUGAUUCUACCUAUGACUCAAACAGCAUCAGGGCGCCGUUGCUUCAUCGCUGGAGGUUGAAGACGUGCAAGCUUCUGAAAUGUAGUUGAAGAUCUCUGUUGUUAGAUUACUCUGUGGAUGGUCAACUGAAUCACUUUCUUUUGCUUGUAAUUGAGAGCUUAAAGGAUUAUCAUAUUUGUUAGAAACAAAUUUGGAGAAGGGGAUUCAAGGAGAUGCAGCUGAUUUAACGAAGAGGAGCAUUUGGAUCAAACACAUACCCUAAAAAAAAGGGAGUUUUUUGGUAAAUUCAUUACCAAUUUAUAUUUUUGCACUCAUUUUUUUUUAUUAGAGCUAUUACCCUUUCUUUUGUUGAAGAAGAGAAUAUAAGCUACUAUAUUGUUUUAUUUUGCUUUGUCUUAGAUGUUUCUUUAAUCUCUGUAACUCAUGGUGCUUUUGUUUCCCUGCAAGACAAUACUCUUUGUUUUUGUUGCAGUCUAGAAUCAUGUGAGCCACUUCCUUCUUUCUUUCUAAAAAAACAAAGCAUUUUGAUUAAAGCAAAAAGUUUUAUGUGCAGAGUUGGAUUAUUAGUAAACAAAAAACAUGUUUGUGCUACAUAAAUUCAAUAUGUCAUAGCUAACGAUUCAAUGUGAGGUAAAUGUUUUCCCUUCAUCAUAGCUGUUAUGAGUAGUAUACUUAUGAGGGACAGAUUGGUAUAAUGUUGUGU